UACGAAGGUCCCAAGCGUUAUCCGGAUUUAUUGGGUUUAAAGGGUGCGUAGGCGGGCUAUUAAGUCAGUGGUGAAAGCUCUCGGCCUAACCGAGAAAUUGCCAUUGAUACUGAUGGUCUUGAGUACAUUUGAGGCGGGCGGAAUGUGUCAUGUAGCGGUGAAAUGCUUAGAUAUGACACAGAACACCGAUUGCGUAGGCAGCUCGCUAAACUGUAACUGACGCUGAGGCACGAAAGCGUGGGGAGCAAACAGG
rnacentral:rRNA from 1 species